rnacentral:rRNA from 1 species
GAUGAACGCUGGCGGCGUGCUUAACACAUGCAAGUCGAACGGGAAACCUUUUAUUGAAGCUUCGGCAGAUUUAGCUGGUUUCUAGUGGCGGACGGGUGAGUAACGCGUGGGUAACCUGCCUUAUACAGGGGGAUAACAGUCAGAAAUGGCUGCUAAUACCGCAUAAGCGCACAGAGCUGCAUGGCUCAGUGUGAAAGACUCCGGUGGUAUAAGAUGGACCCGCGUUGGAUUCGCUGGUUGGUGGGGUAACGGCCCACCAAGGCGACGAUCCAUAGCCGGCCGGCGAGGGUGAACGGCCACAUUGGGACUGAGACACGGCCAAGACUCCUACGGGAGGCAGCAGUGGGGAAGAUUGCACAAUGGGGGAAACCCUGAUGCAGCGACGCCGCGUGAAGGAAGAAGUAUCUCGGUAUGUAAACUUCUAUCAGCAGGGAAGAUAAUGACGGUACCUGACGAAGAAGCCCCGGCUAACUACGUG